rnacentral:rRNA from 1 species
AGCCUGACUCUAGCCCUACCACACCCAAACAUCAAACCUUCUACACUCUAAUUAAACAAAACAUUCUCCCUCACCUAGUAUAGGCGAUAGAAAAGUUCACUACGGCGCUAUAGAGAACAUGUACCGCAAGGGAAAAAUGAAAUAGCAAUGAUAAGCCAAGCACCAAACAGCAAAGCUUAACUCUUGUACCUCUUGCAUCAUGAUUUAGCAAGAACAAUCAAGCGAAAAGACACUUUAAGUUUGCCAUCCCGAAACCUAGGCGAGCUACCUGCAAGCAGCUAUAUACCCGAGCAAACCCGUCUCUGUUGCAAAAGAGUGGGAAGACUUGUUGGUAGAGGUGAAAAGCCAAUCGAGCCAGGUGAUAGCUGGUUACCUACAAAAUGAAUCUAAGUUCUCCCUCGAUUCUCCUAUAAGGAUCUCCCAAUCCUAACCCGCACGAGACAAAUCAAGGGUUACCCAAAGGAGGUACAGCUCCUUUUUAAAAGAACACACUCUCUUCUAGCGGAUAAGCCUCUCACAAAUGAACUGUGGGCCCUCAAGCAGCCAUCAACAAGCGAGUGCGUCAAAGCUCAAAUCUCAAAAAUCCAAGAACUCUGCAACUCCCUUAUCUAUAGUAGGUUAACCUAUUCUAAUAGAAGAACUAAUGCUAUAAUGAGUAACUAGGGCAUUACCCUCUUUUGGCGCAAGCUUACAUCAACCCAUUAUUAACGAAAUCCUAAAUGCUCACUAACCCAAACAAGACCUAACAUUCCCAUAAAACCCUCGUUAACCCAACUUACAGGAGCGCCCAAAAAGAUGAUUAAAACCUAUAGAAGGAACUAGGCAAACACAAGGCCCGACUGUUUACCAAAAACAUAGCCUUCAGCAAAACAAGUAUUGAAGGUGAUGCCUGCCCAGUGACCAACACGUUUAACGGCCGCGGUAUCCUAACCGUGCAAAGGUAGCGCAAUCAAUUGUCCCAUAAAUCGGGACUAGUAUGAACGGCUAAACGAGGUCUUAACUGUCUCCUAUAGGUGAUCAGUGAAAUUGAUCUCCCUGUGCAAAAGCAGGAAUAAUUCCAUAAGACGAGAAGACCCUGUGGAACUUCAAAAUCAGCUACCACUCCCACAAAACUCCACCCCAUUGGGUCCACCAACCCACCGGGACUACUGGCAUGCAUUUUUUGGUUGGGGCGACCUUGGAGCAAAACAGACCCUCCAAAAAUAAGACCACUCCUCUUAACUAAGAUCAACUCAUCGACGUAUUAACAAUAACCAGACCCAAUACAAUUGAUUAAUGGACCAAGCUACCCCAGGGAUAACAGCGCAAUCUCCUCCAAGAGCCCCCAUCGACGAGGAGGUUUACGACCUCGAUGUUGGAUCAGGACAUCCUAGUGGUGUAGCCGCUACCAAGGGUUCGUUUGUUCAACGAUUAACAGUCCUACGUGAUCUGAGUUCAGACCGGAGUAAUCCAGGUCGGUUUCUAUCUAUGAUUAACUCCUUCCAGUACGAAAGGACCGAAAGAGUAGGACCAAUGCCAUAAGCAAGUCCUCGCUAAAAGCAAUGUAAUCAACUAAACUGCCAAAAGCUCAACUACCCUAACAAUCCUAGAAAAGGACAG